CACCGCCCGUCACACCAUGAAAGUCGGCUGUACCAGAAGUCGCUGUGCUAACCGCAAGGGGGCAGGCGCCCAAGGUAUGGUCGAUGAUUGGGGUG
rnacentral:rRNA from 1 species